rnacentral:rRNA from 1 species
GACGGAGGGUGCAAGCGUUGUUCGGAAUUACUGGGCGUAAAGGGCGCGUAGGCGGUCUGUUAAGUUCGGUGUGAAAGCCCCCGGCUCACCUGGGGAACUGCGCCGGAAACCGACAGACUCGAGUACCGGAGAGGAGGGUGGAAUUCCUGGUGUAGCGGUGAAAUGCGUAGAUAUCAGGAGGAACACCGGUGGCGAAGGCGGCCCUCUGGACGGAUACUGACGCUGAGGAGCGAAAGCAUGGGUAGCGAACAGG